rnacentral:rRNA from 1 species
GACAGAGGGUGCAAACGUUGUUCGGAAUUACUGGGCGUAAAGCGUGUGUAGGCGGUCCUCUAAGUCGGGUGUGAAAGCCCAGGGCUCAACCCUGGAAGUGCACUCGAAACUGGAAGGCUAGAGUACCGGAGAGGUUGGUGGAAUUCUCGGUGUAGAGGUGAAAUUCGUAGAUAUCGAGAGGAACACCGGUGGCGAAGGCGGCCAACUGGACGAGUACUGACGCUGAGACACGAAAGCGUGGGGAGCAAACAGG